CCCUGAUCGACUCAACACUGGCUUGCUCCGGGAUCCAGCACUGUCAAAGUGAAUGUUGAUGGAGCAGUAGCCCGAAUCAUGAGGGGUGGAGCUGUGGCUGCACUAUGUCGAGAUGAGAAUGGCAACUACCUGGGAUCCUCGGCAGUGGUCUACGGAGGCAUCAUUGAUCCCACGAUCUUAGAAACCAUUGCUUGUAGAGAGGGACUUGCUUUGGCGGAUGAUCUGGAUGCUCAUGAUGUGGUGCUGGCUUCCGAUUGCGAGGGAGUAGUCAAAGACAUCAACUGGGGAAACAAGUGGUCCGAACCCAGCUAUCACACAUGA
rnacentral:rRNA from 1 species